UAGGGAAUCUUCGGCAAUGGGCGAAAGCCUGACCGAGCAACGCCGCGUGAGCGAUGAAGGCUUUCGGGUCGUAAAGCUCUGUUGUUAAGGAAGAACAAGUACGAGAGUAACUGCUCGUACCUUGACGGUACUUAACGAGAAAGCCACGGCUAACUACGUGCCAGCAGCCGCGGUAAUACGUAGGUGGCGAGCGUUAUCCGGAAUUAUUGGGCGUAAAGCGCGCGCAGGCGGUUUCUUAAGUCUGAUGUGAAAGCCCACGGCUCAACCGUGGAGGGUCAUUGGAAACUGGGGAACUUGAGUGCAGAAGAGGAAAGCGGAAUUCCACGUGUAGCGGUGAAAUGCGUAGAGAUGUGGAGGAACACCAGUGGCGAAGGCGGCUUUCUGGUCUGUAACUGACGCUGAGGCGCGAAAGCGUGGGGAGCAAAACAGGAUUAGAUACCCUGGUAGUCCACGCCGUAAACGAUGAGUGCUAAGUGUUAGAGGGUUUCCGCCCUUUAGUGCUGAAGUUAACG
rnacentral:rRNA from 1 species